rnacentral:misc_RNA from 1 species
GUUUUGUUUUGUUGGUGUGGUUGUGGUUGAUUUCGUGGGUUGAUAGAAACUAGACAGAAUUGACUCGAUCAUUCACCCAAAGAUUUGGCCUAUUAAUAAUGGAUAUAGGAACUACUCUGCUCGCUGCUUCGAAUCUUUUGAGUCGUAUUGGACGAAGCGUUUAACAGUUCAGAACAAUGCCGUCUCUGAGGAAAAAGGUGUCGAGCUUUAUCCGUCAGCUGUCUGUGGCGAACCAACAAAGAGAAAACUCGUUGGGAGAUGGAAGAAGCCCUCGAAAUUCAGCGGAUUCUCAGAAUGGGUGUUUCAUUCAACGGUAUCUCAGCGGACAAGAUGUACGACGCAUGGCACCUACUAUAUUGCAUGGGCGCAACCCUCAUGAGCUUCCACCGAAGGCUUUGGGAGAGCCAGACGGUGGACCAGAAUCUAUUGUUGCUGCCCUGACUGGACCAGACGGAGGCUUAACGACCGUAAAUCGCAAACAACGGCAUAUUACCACAAGUGACCCGGAUGUGGAUUUCAUUGACAUCUUGGACCAGGGAGAGAAUGAUAAACCGCCAGUGGCUUCAUCUGAAUGUGUCUUCAGCCCUGGCUAUGGCCGGUGGUUCAGUGUAAGAUCUUCGGACUCUCCAAUCAACAAUUCAGUGAUAAAAAUACGAGCUGCAGGUUCUGUGUUUACUAUUGGAACAAAAUCUGUCCACACAAGUAUGACAGACCUUCAUUUGUCAGAGUCAGAAGAAAAACAGUCAAACUAUCACAAGCCUGACACCCCCAUGAAUGAUUCUGGUACUCAGAAUGUCAAAUUGGAGACAAAGGCUUCCACUUUAAAGGAAAAAAGAGUGCAUCUCUUAGACAACACUAAAGAACUCACAGUUGAAGAAAAACCUAGUGCAAAUUUGUCUAAAGAAGACAAGAACAAUCAAAAUAAAACAAUAAUUCUUGGAUCCACCAGUAUGGAAGACUCAGGUAUUGACUGCUCUCCUGUGACAGAGGAAUACCUGAUUCCACCACCUGCAGACUUUGCAGGAACUCUAAGCCGCGAAGAUUCGCAAGAAGAAGGAUUUCUACCAAUACGAAAAUCCAAGAGUGCUCCAAAUCCUUUUAAAAAAGCUAGGGCUAACAGGAAAAAUGGCCAGGAACUGUCAAAUGAUGUUAGAAGAGCCACUUGUGAGGAGGGCACUGCCACAAGCGAAACGCCAAGCUCGUUUGUUAAAGUAGAAGAAGUUGCUGGAGUCCGAGACUGGACUCAACCACAUCGCGGGGCUUACGGUGCAGCUACUACCUUGUAUGAGCUGCACCCACUGUCAGGCAUAAAUGCAGGCAACCCUAUUGCUGAUUGUUUUGCUGUUGUUGCAAGAAAAGAUUCAGCUGUUUUAGCUCUUGCUGACGGCGUAAAUUGGGGUCAGAAGGCUUGUGUUGCAGCUCGCUCAGCUGUACAUGGCUGUGUGGAGUAUCUGAACAAGGCAGUUUUCAGCAAUGCAACACCCUCCAAACCUACUAAUACGACUGAGGUAUUUGUUGCUCUGUUCCGCUCGUUCCAUGCUGCACAUAGCCUAAUACUUCAAGAGGAGGGUAUGUUGACCACCCUCACAGCUGCUCUUGUUCUUCCGCUAGCUGCCCCUGGUCGAUACGUGGCCUGUGUGUGCAAUGUAGGUGAUAGUCUGGCUUAUGUUUACAACCCUCAACAUGGUGUACGAGAAAUAACUCAAGGCUCUCAUGAUAUUCAUCUUAUGCGUGACAUGAGGGAUGCCCUGGGUGCUCUUGGCCCUGUUGCUGGAAGUAACCCUGAGCUGAAUAAUUUGACAUGUUCAAUGACUGAAGUACAAGAGGGUGACAUUGUAUUCUUGACAUCAGAUGGUAUUUCUGAUAAUUUUGACCCAGUUGUUGGUAAAUUUGCUGUCCUUCCUCCUGAUGAUGACAAGAAUGAUAGUCGAACUGCAGUCCCUUCCAAUUCAAAACAUGCACAACGUGGGAUACGCCCUAGGACAUCAAGUGCUGGCCAUUCGUCUAAAAGCCAUACUCGGGGAACUCCAGCUUUAAAUUCUGAGGGCCUGCCAACUGUCCAAGCCUAUCAGCGCCAUGAGUUAACUCUUUUGCGUAUGGAAGACCUACUGAAGCUUGGAGUCUCAGGACAGGGACCCCCUAUUCAGGAUGCUCGAGAACUUUGUGACUUGCUGUUGGACUUUGCAACACGAAUUACAGCAGCCAAACGUCACAUUUUGGAGGACCUAGAGUUAUACUGCAGUAUUGGUGAAAAUAAUACUGUACAGGAACUCAGCAAAAUGGAGCAGCGUGCACGCCGAAGGAAAAUCUGUGAUAAAUUAUCCAUGGUGCCUGGUAAGCUAGACCAUGCCACUGUAGUAGCUUACCAAGUUGGUGCAUGUAGCUCUCUUGCUACUGAGAAUAAGAACAUUCCCUCUUUGCAAGAGACAGGGCUUUAGCUGUUAAACAAAUUAGGAUUUUAGAGAAUUUCUUGAAUUUCAACCUUCCUCUGAUUCUUGGCUCUCAACAGUUAUUGAGGCUUCUGUCUGGCUUGACAAGAGCUAUAAAAGUUACUUUUUGUUAUUGUUAGUUCAAGCAUAAUGAUAUUCUAAUCACUGGCUACAGGGAAAUUAUUUUGUUUAGAGAAUAAAAUUUUUAUUUAUUACAUAAUUAUAUGUAGAUAGUAUAUUUUACAAAUAUUAGUUGACUCCAAGAUACUCUGUCCUCUAACAUCACAUAACUUAUAAUCUGAAAGAUAACUGUUAAUUCCAUUGUCCCUUGACCGGUUUCACUAUCAGUCAUCUUGGCUGUGAUAUCUUCCAGAAGUAAUUUUGAUCCAGAUUUGCUCUACGAGCGUUCACUGUAUCACCAUUUGUAUUCUGUUGUUGUGGUUCAUUUUGAAAUAUGAUUUAUGGUAGAAGAAAUGCAAUCUGUCUCUAUCGUUCUUGUUAUGUUUACAAUUUAGAAAAAGCAAUUUUAUUGCUUCUUUUAUUUUUUUGGUUUUAGCUGGAAAUAUUAUGUCAUAGUUAGUUCUUACAUUCCCAUUAUUUGUUAUGUUUCUCAUGGUUCUACUUUCUGUUCAUUUUCAUUGGUUGAAGUAAAAUUUUUCCAUUCCAAAGACAGUUUAAUUCCAACUCAUUAUCAUAGUUAAUCUUUUGAUCUUCAUAUUUUGUUAUGAAAGAUAUACCUAUUUAUUAUAAGAGUAUGACAGUGACUCAUGGAAGUGUCCUAUUUUUGGAAAGUUUUGCACCUCUUGAUAAAGGAAUUGUUGUAAAGGCCUGAAUUGCACAGGAUUUAGUGUAAAGUUAAAAACAGUUUGUUCAUUACUGCGAGUGACUUUGAGAGCACUAUUUUAUGGGAGACAUACUCAAAGAAAGAGGAUGGAAAUGUUUGAAUGAGAGCUGAGGAGGUGUUAAAAAUGGGUUGCUUUGUGCACGCUCUUAUUUUCUCUCUUUGAAUGGGAACCACAUUUUUCUUGUAUUCAGAAGUACUGUAUUAGUAUUAGAGAAGUACAUAUCCUUAUGUACAUUGAGGUGCCUAGCUAUAGCCAAGCUUGAUUGAUUAUAAAACUGCUACUGCUAUUCUAACUCUUUGGUACUUCAUUCAAUUGCAAACAAUUUAAAUCUUUACCAUUUAUCAAAGGCCUCACUACAUAUAAUCCUCUUGUUGCUUAGUGACCAAAAAUUUACAAAGAACUUCUCAUUUUCUUCAUGAGAUUUUUGGACAUCAGAGUCCUUAUUCCAUUUAAGCCUAGAUCUAUAAAUGCCAUUUGUUUUGAUUUUUUGUAAAACUCAGCAUAAAAAGUGUAUGAGUGCAUCAUCAAAAAAUUGUGAUGUUUCUGACAUAGAAGUGUUCUAUCUUUCAUGUCAAUGUGAUACGUUAUGUCUACAAUGGACCACCUAGUUAAGUAUGUCUCAUUUCUCAAAGAAUGCGUGUCAGGUAUUGUGCCAUGAUAGCAUAGAUCAGCUUUGGUGGCCAUGAGGAGAAAACCCCGUUUAUAAGGACCAGUAUCUUAGAUAAGCGCUUUGCCCAAGAAAUAAGUAUUUUCUUAAAGUCUUUAUGAGUGUCAUUCGAAUUCUCUCGGAUCAAUGUCCCUCACAGAAUAAGUGUCUUAUUUUGAAUUACCUUCUCUCUGACAGACUCUUCAAAUAUUUUUGAUUGUUAGGAAAAUACAAAUGUACUUGGGUCCCUUCUGCUUAGCCCUAGAUUUGUAUGUGUCUGAGGCCUCAAGAAAAUUUAUGGUGAUGUGGAUGUGUCAUGGCUUGACUUUUGCAUAAAACUUUCAGGCGAUUUGUGAUUGCUCAUGUCAUUCUUGAUUUAGACUCGAGUAAGAUAUCGCAGUUGUUUAUCUUGCUUACCACUUGCUGCCUUUAUAGUGAAGAUGGUAUACACUGCUAAUUGUGUUCCUCUGAAGUAGUCCAAGGAUAUUUUUCAUGCUAUUUACUUGUUAAUUCUACUUUUACUUGCAUUUAUUGCUUCCCAUCUCCUGUAUGAUUUUGAUUGGCAAUGGAAAAACACAAUACUCAGUGUGUGCCAAAUGCAUUUUUGUUUUGUAUUAAGUGCCCAAUGUGCUCAUGAUGGUAUUUGCGGAUGUCUACUGCAUACAUGAAUUAAUUCCAUUGAUCAGGUUUAAAUCAGCACAAUUGUUAUUUAUUAAAAAUAUUCCUGUUUAAUGUUUAGCAUUUAAUUAAAACCGGAUUUGUUACAGUUAUUGUAAGCACAGUAUGACCUUGCUAAACCAGUAUUUAUCAGUUGAUCUAUGAAAUAUAAGUGUACUGUGUAAGCCAACUUAAAUGCAAUAAAACAUUUGCGCUUUAA